AGGCGAUGAAGGACGUAGUAACUUGCGAUAAGCGUAGAUGAGGCAGUAACAGCCACUUGAGUCUACGAUUUCCGAAUGGGGAAACCCACUGGCAUAAGCCAGUAUCAUUGAGUGAAUACAUAGCUCAAUGAAGCGAACCGGGAGAACUGAAACAUCUAAGUACCCCGAGGAAAAGAAAUCAACCGAGAUUCCGAAAGUAGCGGCGAGCGAAAUUGGAUUAGCCCUUAAGCUUUACAUGUGUUAGACGAACGGUCUGGAAAGUCCGACGAUACAGGGUGAUAGUCCCGUAGUUGUAGAUGCAUGUUCAGUGAAAUCGAGUAGGGCGGGACACGUGUUAUCCUGUCUGAAUAUGGGGGGACCAUCCUCCAAGGCUAAAUACUCCUGACUGACCGAUAGUGAACCAGUACCGUGAGGGAAAGGCGAAAAGAACCCCUGUGAGGGGAGUGAAAUAGAACCUGAAACCGUGUACGUACAAGCAGUAGGAGCACCUUCGUGGUGUGACUGCGUACCUUUUGUAUAAUGGGUCAGCGACUUAUAUUCAGUGGCAAGGUUAACCAUCUAGGGGAGCCGUAGGGAAACCGAGUCUUAACUGGGCGCCAUAGUCUCUGGAUAUAGACCCGAAACCGAGUGAUCUAGCCAUGGGCAGGUUGAAGGUUGAGUAACAUCAACUGGAGGACCGAACCGACUAAUGUUGAAAAAUUAGCGGAUGACUUGUGGCUAGGGGUGAAAGGCCAAUCAAACUCGGAGAUAGCUGGUUCUCCCCGAAAGCUAUUUAGGUAGCGCCUCGGACGAAUACUACUGGGGGUAGAGCACUGUUAAGGCUAGGGGGUCAUCCCGACUUACCAACCCUUUGCAAACUCCGAAUACCAGUAAGUACUAUCCGGGAGACACACGGCGGGUGCUAACGUCCGUCGUGGAGAGGGAAACAACCCAGACCGCCAGCUAAGGUCCCAAAUUACAGCUAAGUGGGAAACGAUGUGGGAAGGCUUAGACAGCUAGGAUGUUGGCUUAGAAGCAGCCAUCAUUUAAAGAAAGCGUAAUAGCUCACUAGUCGAGUCGGCCUGCGCGGAAGAUGUAACGGGGCUAAGUUGUAAACCGAAGCUGCGGCAAUGUUCUUUGAACAUUGGGUAGGGGAGCGUUCUGUAAGCCGUUGAAGGUGUGUUGUAAAGCAUGCUGGAGGUAUCAGAAGUGCGAAUGCUGACAUGAGUAACGACAAGGGGGGUGAAAAACCUCCCCGCCGGAAGACCAAGGGUUCCUGUCCAACGUUAAUCGGGGCAGGGUAAGUCGACCCCUAAGGCGAGGCCGAAAGGCGUAGUCGAUGGGAAACGGGUUAAUAUUCCCGUACUUCUUACAAUUGCGAUGGGGGGACGGAGAAGGCUAGGUGGGCCUGGCGACGGUUGUCCAGGUUCAAGUGCGUAGGCU
rnacentral:rRNA from 1 species